CAUUGAUUAUUACUUCUAUAGGAAGGGUUUCGUGAGUAAUAUCUCCAGAAGACAAUGGACGACCAUCUAUGACUUCUACUGUCACGGACACAAAAUACAGACUUGAAAUCUAACAAGAAGUUCAAGAAGAAGUGGCAGAACUAGAUUAAACAGAUGAGUACAAGAACAACAUUAGAAAGGUGAGCUAGAACUCCAAGAAAUGUGUUGUCGAGACUGAAGAACUCUUCAGCC
rnacentral:lncRNA from 1 species